rnacentral:tRNA from 1 species
CCCAAUAGCUCAGCGGUAGAGCAAUCGGCUGUUAACCGAUUUUAGUCGUAGGUUCAAAUCCUACUUGGGGAGAA